UACGGGGGGUGCGAGCGUUGUCCGGAAUCACUGGGCGUAAAGGGCGCGUAGGUGGUCUUGUAAGUCGAUGGUGAAAGCCUGGGGCUCAACCCCAGGUCUGCCGUCGAUACUGUGAGACUCGAGUACUGUAGAGGCUGGUAGAAUGUCGGGUGUAGCGGUGGAAUGCGUAGAGAUCCGACAGAAGACCGGUGGCGAAGGCGGCCAGCUGGGCAGUAACUGACACUGAGGCGCGACAGCGUGGGGAGCAAACAGG
rnacentral:misc_RNA from 1 species